CAUGCAAUGCACUUAUUCCUUGUGCUAUAAUUAUCUCAGAAGAGUAGUGUGAUGAGACACAGGCCAAUGUCAAAUUCUCACACCAAGGGCGUGAAUGAUACCCAUUGAAAUUAUACAUUGGGAACAUUUUAUAUGCAGGAGCUGCAGCAGCAAACUAAAGAACAUGCAAACCAUUUGAAACAGAAACUCAGCCUUCCACAAUCUCACAAAUACCCUGGAGCGUAUUGGAAAAUGUUUCAGCAGUGAACCUGGACACCAGCAAAUAGAAUGAAGCGUUGUAAUUCGUACAUAGGACAUGCUAUUAUGGGAUGAUGUUAAAAUCACAAAUCAACAGAAAUGGAAAAGGUGCUUCC